GUGGCUCAGUCGUUAAUAGUAUAUGUAUUUUUAAUACGAUGUUGCUCGUCUUUGUAUUGUUUUUUUUUUUGUUUUGUUUUUUUUUUGCAAUGGCGUCAUCAGUUUGUUCGAUUUUACAGUUUGAACAACCUUUGGUAUCUUUAGUCUAUCCUAUGCAAUUGUCCUUCCUAUGUAUAUUUUAAUUUAUUUAACCGUUUAACUGUUUAUUCAAAAUACACUCAGACGCAGAUUUCCUGCGUAAUAGGAGCGACAAAUACACAUUCAUUUAACAAAUAACAUAGAAGUGAAAUAAGUAGAAUACAUACAAUAAAACAUUUU
rnacentral:lncRNA from 1 species